AUCGAAGCUAAGUCACACAGGUAUUGGCUAUUGACUUAGUGUGCUAGAGUCCUCGAAGAAUAACUGCUGACCUUAUUCACUGGCUGUGGGCCUCAUGGCACAGUCAAUCACCAGGUUAGUGAAAGAA
rnacentral:snoRNA from 1 species